rnacentral:rRNA from 1 species
AAAGCGGUACGCGAGCUGGGUCAGAACGUCGUGAGACAGUUCGGUCCCUAUCCGUCGCGGGCGUAGGAAAUUUGAGAGGAGCUGUCCUUAGUACGAGAGGACCGGGAUGGACGCACCGCUGGUGUACCAGUUGUUCCGCCAGGAGCACAGCUGGGUAGCUAUGUGCGGAAGGGAUAAGCGCUGAAAGCAUCUAAGCGUGAAGCCCCCCUCAAGAUGAGAUUUCCCAUCGCGUCAAGCGAGUAAGAUCCCUUGAAGAUGACAAGGUUGAUAGGUCCGAGGUGGAAGCGUGGCGACACGUGUAGCUGACGGAUACUAAUCGAUCGAGGACUUAACUAAG